AGAACGAACGCUGGCGGCAGGCCUAACACAUGCAAGUCGAGCGCCCCGCAAGGGGAGCGGCGGACGGGUGAGUAACACGUGGGGGAUUUUCCUCAAGGUACGGAACAACUCAGGGAAACUUGGGCUAAUACCGUAUGAUGUCUAGCGACCAAAGAUUUAUCGCCUUGGGAUAAGCCCGCGUCAGAUUAGGUAGUUGGUGAGGUAACGGCUCACCAAGCCUGUGAUCUGUAGCUGGUCUGAGAGGACGAUCAGCCACAUUGGGGACUGAGACACGGCCCAAACCUCCUACGGGAGGCAGCAGUGGGGAAUCUUGCGCAGUGGGCGAAAGCCUGACGCAGCCAU
rnacentral:rRNA from 1 species